rnacentral:rRNA from 1 species
UGGGGAAUCUUCCGCAAUGGACGAAAGUCUGACGGAGCAACGCCGCGUGUAUGACGAAGGCCUUCGGGUUGUAAAAUACUGUCUUUGGGGACGAAUGUUAGUUAUGAGAAUAUUGUAGCUAAAUGACGGUACCCGAGAAGGAAGCCCCGGCUAACUACGUGCCAGCAGCCGCGGUAAUACGUAGGGGGCAAGCGUUGUCCGGAAUCAUUGGGCGUAAAGGGCGCGUAGGCGGAUAGUUAAGUCCGAUGUGAAAUACCAAGGCUCAACCUUGGGGCUGCAUCGGAAACUGGUUAUCUUGAGGACAGGAGAGGAAAGUGGAAUUCCUAGUGUAGCGGUGAAAUGCGUAGAUAUUAGGAGGAACACCAGUGGCGAAGGCGACUUUCUGGACUGUAACUGACGCUGAGGCGCGAAAGCGUGGGGAGCAAACAGG